rnacentral:lncRNA from 1 species
AUCAGCAGACGAACUUCCAGUUCCAUUCGACAUUUCUUUUUCUUCGAGACGCUGUCCGAAAAGGUUACCUCAGCCAUUGGCUCAUGGCGGGGCACUUUCUUAAGUUCUUUCCUGACGUUUUUCGUCAAUGUCUGAGCUUGUUCAUUGCAUUACGUGCACGUGACCGCUGACUUGUGUGAGUCCGCUAUUUGCAAGACAAUUGAGGUGAAAAGAUGAAACUUGAAAAGGAAAUACUGGGUUUCUUGUUCAGUUUGAGCUGUUAAUGGUGUUGUGUGGUGUGCAGUGGUUUUGCAGUUAUUCAGUCGAGAGAUGGCCUGAAAUGGGUGAUCAACUGCUGAGACUUCCCUCACUUCAUGAUCUUUUUCUAUGGAGACGCUGUCCUAGAAGGUUUAGCUUGGCCGUUGCAGGCAACUUCUCUUUCUUGACAUUAUUAGUCUUCAAAAUGGGAUCAUGGCUUUUAACUUGUACUUGCAUGGUUAAUUACUCAUGGUUAAAUUUCUAAUAGUUCUUUAAUCUAGUGGUUUAAUUUCUACGGUCAUGUCAUGAGGUCUGCCGUACAUUUUCUCCAAAAUGUCGUCUCUUGGUUCAUGUUGCACGUUUCGUCACAUUCAGAAUAACAGCCUAGUGAAAUCCAAGCUUUUCAUUGCGUUACGUGUACGCGAUCGCUGCCGUUUAAUGAAGUUUCUCUAAGAGGGUCUCUACCACAUUGCAAGAACAUUGUGAUGGAAAUAUGAAAUCUGAAAUAAUAAUAAUAAUUAACUGACUUUAAACAUUAAGUUCUUGAUUCAAAUGACAUGGCAACUGCAUCCUGCUAAUGAAGAAGACGGCUUUUAUGAAAAGAUCUUAUAUGUUUUCCACGUUCAGUUUGAUGUUCGAGCUUUUUGUUGUGGCGGUUACGUGCGCAGUGAUUUUCCAGGAGAGAUGUGUUAAAAAGUUCUGUUGGCUUUAGAGUUUUCCAGGGACAAAGCACCUGUUGUUGGCAACAUGGCAAUCAUAUGCCACUGAGCCUGACUUAAUGUUCUCUGAACACUGUCAGUUACAUUGUUCGUUACCAAUGCGGAACUCCAACAUUCUUCUUCACAAAUAUCUCAUAAAGGAUUAGUGGCUUGGUGAGGUUGAGCUUUUUCAUGGCAGUUGACAUGGACUUGUUGCAGCGAGCUGGUGAAGGGUGUGGUGAGCUGUUGCGUGACGACCAUGGGCUGGUGCGGGGAAGUGCUGCACGUUGUCUGCGGCUUCCAUCGUCAGAUGUAUGAGCUAAUUAUGUUGUUGCUCUUUGGUAUGCAGUUCAUGUUCAGUUGGUUUUGUUGCAGCCAGCUGGUGAAAGGGAGUCCAAGUCGAGUUCAGCUGCAGCUUUUGAAGCAGUUAACAAUGCUCGUGUUAUUCCGAAAUGUAACAUCAAUGAAGACAUCUUGAAAUGGUCUUGGUGAUGAUGCAAUCAUCCAUCUUCUGCAUGGAUUUUGUGUUAUCAAGAAGCGGAGAAGUAAGACUUGAAGCAAAGCUGCAAGAAAAGAAAUGGUAUUGACGUUAAUGUGCAGUGGUUUUGCAGUCCGACUCCUUUUCAAGCUGUUGCUUUCCUGAAUUUUGCCGGAGUCUUUGAAGUAGCUGAUCCUGUCAUCCUGAAGUUAUGAUGCCGGGGUUAUCCUGGAGUAGCUGUUGUUGGUGUCUUAAGUUACUGUGGCAGUUCAUUUCGGGUUGAUAAAAAUAUUAAUAUCCAUGUAGUAUGUGAUGUAGUAACCUUAAUAUGCUAUUUUGUUAUCCAUUGUGGCAUGUUGUGAACUGAUAUUGGUCUACACAGCAUUUGUGCUUCCUGAUAUUUCCCUCACCCAUAUAUAUCUAAUAAUUCUUAAAUAAUGGGAUGUUAAAGUGAACUUUAAGUUUUUCCUUUUGCGUAGGAAAUUAAUAGUUCAUUUAGUUUUCACUUGAAAUGACGAAAUAAUAAAAA